UACAGAGGGUGCAAGCGUUGUUCGGAAUUAUUGGGCGUAAAGCGCGUGUAGGCGGCAUGGCAAGUCGGGUGUGAAAGCCCUCAGCUUAACUGAGGAAGUGCGCCCGAAACUACUUUGCUUGAGUGCCGGAGAGGAUGGCGGAAUUCCCCAAGUAGAGGUGAAAUUCGUAGAUAUGGGGAGGAACACCGGUGGCGAAGGCGGCCAUCUGGACGGUAACUGACGCUGAGACGCGAAAGCGUGGGUAGCAAACAGG
rnacentral:rRNA from 1 species